rnacentral:rRNA from 1 species
UUAAGCAUAUCAAUAAGCGGAGGAAAAGAAACCAACAGGGAUUGCCUUAGUAACGGCGAGUGAAGCGGCAAAAGCUCAGAUUUGAAAUCUGGCGUCAUUUUGGCGUCCGAGUUGUAAUCUGUAGAGGAGUAUUCGAGUGUGGAUUUGGCUUAAGUUCCUUGGAACAGGACGUCAUAGAGGGUGAGAACCCCGUUAACGGCCUACGUCUUAUGCUCAUGUGAAUCUCCUUCAACGAGUCGAGUUGUUUGGGAAUGCAGCUCUAAAUGGGUGGUAAAUUCCAUCUAAAGCUAAAUACUGGCAAGAGACCGAUAGCGCACAAGUAGAGUGAUCGAAAGAUGAAAAGAACUCUGAACAGAGAGUUAAAUAGUACGUGAAAUUGUUGAAAGGGAAGCACUUGCUACCAGACACGCCUGUAGUUGAUCAACCUCCAUUCUUGGUGGUGCACUCGGCUAUAGGUGGGUCAGCAUCAGUUACAACGGUGGGAUAAAGACUUUGGGAAUGUAGCUUCCUUCGGGAAGUGUUAUAGCCCUUGGUGUAAUACCAUCUGAUGUGACUGAGGCCCGCGCUUCGGCGAGGAUGCUGC